UACGUAGGGGGCUAGCGUUGUCCGGAUUUAUUGGGCGUAAAGAGCGUGUAGGCGGCCAGGUAGGUCUGGUGUGAAAACUCGAGGCUUAACCUCGAGAUGUCAUCGGAAACCAUCUGGCUAGAGUCCGGAAGAGGAGAGUGGAAUUCCUGGUGUAGCGGUGAAAUGCGCAGAUAUCGGGAAGAACACCCGUGGCGAAGGCGAGUCUCUGGACGACUCCUGACACUGAGGCACGAAAGCUAGGGGAGCAAACAGG
rnacentral:rRNA from 1 species